UUUCACUCUUUCUACCCACCUUAAAUCCAGUUUUCUCUAAGCAUCUUUAUCUUGUUACCGCAGAAUGAUCUGUUUCUUUUUCAAACACCAGUUGUUCUAUUUCAUUUUGCAAAAUGCUUCGUCUUUAUUCUACACUCCCUCUUACCUUGCCUGUAUUGUAAAGUUCAUCUUGUUUUUAUAUUUGUCCUUUUUCCUAAUGAGCUAAUGAGAUCUGUGGCAGAGACCAUGAUUUUUGUUGUUGUUGUUCCCCAUUCCCACAUCCCUUGGGAGGGUGGGAGAAGUAUUCUUCUUUUUUGUCUUUGUUGAGGAAGAUUGGCCCUGAGCUAACAUCCAUGGCCAGUCCUCCUCUUUUUGCUCGAGGAAGAUUAUUGCUGAGCUGACAUCAGUGGCAGUCCUCCUCUAUUUUAUGUGGGAUGCCACCACAGUGUGGCUUGACGAGUGGUGCUGCGUCUGCGCUCCGGAUCUGAACCUGCGAACCCCAGGCCACUGAAGCCAGGCAGGCGAACUUAACAACUUGACCACCAGGCCAGCCCCAAAAGGGGCCAUGGUUUUUAAUGUUUUCCACAGUGCUUAGAAGCCCAAUUCUAUUCCUCACAGGCGAUCUCUGGAGAAACAGUCUUUCUAAACACUAGACACCUGGAGGAAGCAAGGCUGUUCAGGAACAUCUGGGCUUUGAUUCUGCCUUCUCUCCUUAGAUAAAGCUGUGGCCUUAUUGGCACUGGGUUUGUCUCAAGAACCAGCAGGAACCCAGAUGUUUUUAAUUUCUCCCCAUUAAAGGGCAUAGCUUGUUAGGGCUUGUUCUUCCCAAAGUGGUGAUGUAAGCCCUGAGCGUAACAGAGAAGUGGAACCAUCACAAUUGAGCUUGUCAGAUAUUGCAAGACCCUACGUUGUCCUCUUGCUGAUAUUGCAUGACUCUAGAGGCGAAUGGAAGCUGCUGAGAUAUACUGCAUCUGUUCCUGCCCUGAGUGACUGCCUCACUGCUGGUAAGAUUUUGGAUCCUUGGCUAAGUAAGUCAGGAACUAAAUGUAAACUCUGUGUGUGUGUGUGUGUUUUCUUCCUUCUAAUUCAUAGCUGAUAGCUAAUGUUUAUUUAGGGCUUACUAUGGACCAGUUCUAAUGUUCCACAUGUGUUAACUCUUAAUCCUCAUAACACCCAUGUGAAUUAGCCAUUUUAAGCAAAUAGCCAUUUUCAGAUAAGGAGAUUGAGGAAGAGAAGAUCAAGUAACUUUCUUUAAUAGUGCUAUUAAUACUAAAUGGAGGAAUGGGGUUUGAUCCCAGGAAGUUGUGAUUCAGAGUGAUUUUUUUUUUUGGUGAGGAAGAUUGGCCCUGAGCAAAUAUCUGUUGCCACUCUUCCUCUGUUUUUUGUGUGAGGAAGAUUGGCUCUGAGCUAACAUCUGUUGCCAAGCAUCCUCUUUUUGCUUGAGCAAGAUUGUCGCUGAACUAACAUGUUACCAGUCUUCCUCUAUUUUAUGUGGGAUGCUGCCGCAGCAUGGCUUGACAAGCGGUGCUAGGUCUGUGCCUGGCAUCUGAAUCUGUGAACCCCAGGCUGCUGAAGUGGAACGCACAAACUUCACCACUUUUUGACUGGGCCAGCCCCUGGAGCUUAUAUUUUUAAUUGCUGUACUAUACUAGUCUAUCUGAAAUGCUGCAAGCCAAUUUUAAUUAUUUCUUUG
ensembl:lncRNA